GAUGAAGAACGCAGCGAAAUGCGAUAAGUAGUGUGAAUUGCAGAAUUCAGUGAAUCAUCGAAUCUUUGAACGCACAUUGCGCCCCUUGAUAUUACAUGGGGCAUGCCUGUUAGAGCGUCAUUUGUACCUUCAAGCUUUGCUUGGUGUUGGGUGUUUGUCUCGCCUUUGCGUGUAGACUCGCCUUAAAAUAAUUGGCAGCCGGCGUAUUGAUUUCGGAGCGCAGUACAUCUCGCGCUUUGCACUCAUAACGACAGCGUCCAAAAGUACAUUUUACACUCUUGACCUCGGAUCAGGUAGGGAUACCCGCUGAACUUAAGCAUAUCAAUAAGCGGAGGA
rnacentral:misc_RNA from 1 species